rnacentral:rRNA from 1 species
UACAGAGGUCUCAAGCGUUGUUCGGAUUCAUUGGGCGUAAAGGGUGCGUAGGCGGCGCGGUAAGUCGGGUGUGAAAUCUCGGGGCUUAACUCCGAAACUGCAUUCGGAUACUGCCGUGCUUGAGGACUGGAGAGGAGACUGGAAUUUACGGUGUAGCGGUGAAAUGCGUAGAUAGUCGUCAAGGAAGACCAGGUGGCGAAGGCGGGUCUCUGGACAGU